rnacentral:pre_miRNA from 8 species
UGUCCUUCACGGCUCUUUUUGCGGUCUGGGCUUGCUGUUCCUUAAAUCACCAGUCAGGAAGCCCUUACCCCAAAAAGUAUCUGUGUGGGAUC